UGUCACUGUUAUCUGAAACACUCAUGGGAGGGCAUGAGCUCUUAAAACUAAUGUUGCACUUCUAAGAACUUUGCCUCAUCAAUACAAAAAUCACAUAAAAUCAUUCAUUGCAGUGAUAUUUGUAAUCACAGAACCUGGGAACAAACUAAAUGGUUAUUAAUAAGCAACUGGUUGAACAGACUGUGGCACAGCCAUACAAUAGACUAUCAUUCAGCUAAAAAAAAUAAGAUCUUUAUGCAACAAUAAGGAAGAUUCCAAGGAUAUAUUGGUAAGUAAAUUAAAUAAUAUAUAUACACUCGAAUGUCCAUAGGAUGCCGCUAUCAUUCAAAAGCUAUGGGAUGGAUAUUUUUCAGACAUUUUGCACAUACUUACUGUGCAUCUUCUACAUCCCAGAAACUGUUCUAGCUACUGGGGACAUGGCAGUAAAGAAGAAAAUAGACCAAACUCCUAGCCUUCCAGAAGCUUAUUCUCAUUUUCUCAUGCCAGGAUACUCGUGUCUGAGGCCCCCUGACAAUUCUGUCUGUCUCAUUUGGGAUCUCUCAUGUAUACUUAGUCAGACAGCUGCUGGAGCUGGAGCCAACUAAAAAAUUAAUUAGAAUGCUGUACUACUACAAACUGCCUCUGAUGUCACAUGAUCUGUGUGUCUGUCUUCAUAUAGCCUUCUUAUAAAGAUGUCAGCCACUGGAUUUUGAGUCCAUCUACUUCAUUCUAACCAUCUUUCACACAGACUCUCCAUCAGAGAGAGAAAAUUCAUAGCCAGUUCAAAGUUCUCAGAAGCACAAAAAUGGAAGCUACCUGGCCUUAUAAAGUUAGUGGAAUGUGUCUAGCAAUAUUUUACAUGCUGAGAUCACAGUGGAGAACAACACAGGCACAAGACCCCAUGUCAAACAACUUUCAUUGUAGUAGAGACAAUACCACUGAAUUCUUGCUUAGAACUCUUGGUUGUUGUAGUAGUGUGGAAAAAAUAAUGAACUACAUCUGACACCUGGGCUCUCUCUCUGCAGUGAGUUCCAGACAGAGUAAAAGAUAACAUAACUCAAUCAUAUCCUGAACCAGACAGUCUGAAAUCCAUCGAUAUCUAGAUGUCUCCUCCAUUCAUACAAUUACUUAUCCUUGUUCAAAGAGCUCUCUAAUUUUUAUCUUCUUUAUAAAGUUUUUUAAAAUGGCUAAUGCUUUGGGGAUGAGUAAAGAGGUGAUGAGAACUUUACAAAAGGGAAGAAAAAGUGAGUUUCCUGGACAGUUCAAAAUUGCCUCUCCCCUUCCGUCCAAAUUUUUGGACUCUAGAAUUGUGACACUUCCCUAAAUUAUUAAUACACAUCUGCUCAAAUUAUGAUUUAUAUCUCAAUUGACCCAUUUGGCAGGAAUGACAGACUGCAAAUUGUGAAAUGGAAUGAUAUCAUAUGAUUUUUUAACAUUGCUAUCUCUAGCAUACACCUGUUACAGAGAACGCCAGAUGUUAAUCAGCAGAUGUUCCUGGGGCUCACAAAGAAAAACAGGAGGUGAACAACUUUGAUCCCUGCCAUGACGAACUUUUGCCUUACCACAGCGAAGGGGGAAAACUACCAUGAACUAAAAGCUUCAAAAUGGUGGCAUGGCUGUCUUCCCGGAAGAACACAGUUCUAGCAGC
ensembl:lncRNA